AGAUCAUGAUGAGGACACCUUCGUUGUAACUCCCGAUAGCGCUCCCAAACUUCGUACAAUGUCUUUUUUUCCUGUUGUGAAACUAGUUAUAUCUAUUCUGAAUUU